ACUUUUAUUAUCAUAUACUGUUCCGUCGUUGUUUACGCAGUUUCAGCAUGCACUAUCGAUGGAAUGCAGCCAAUUUCGUGCCGGGCGCUGAUUAAUCCAGUCGUGUGUUGAGAGACUUAUAUCGUUUAUUCGGACUUCAAUAUUCUAAAUUUGUGUUAUACUCGAAGAUCAAUCGGCUAUUUAUUUGUACUUUGUGACUAUAGUAAUUUGUUUAAUAUUAGGAAAUGCCGGUUUUUGAUCGCGUUUGUUAUGUAUAUUACAAGUCACGUGAUAGUGGAUUUGAUAACAUUCUUCACUCGGCGUUGUGUUUGGUGUAGGUUGCUAAAUUAAGAUGUAUAUCGCCCCCGUGUUGAUUCUCAUCACUAAGAAAGAUCCAUCAAGCUCGUUUACAGCACUCGUUGUGCAUGGCAGUCCGAUAAGCUGUACAUUGAUUUUCUUUUGGCAACACCCUGUAUAUAAUUUUCCAGGGAUGCAACGCGAAAACAGUGCGCAAUUUGCUAUUUUCUAGUGUUAUAUUUUGUACUUUUGCAGCCGUUAGUACAGCGCGGUUAUGCAGGUCAUAAACAUAUUUUAAAAUGACGUCAUGUGUUCUGUAGGUAUUGAACUUGGAAGUUCUGAACUUGUAUUGUAUUUAGUUUGUUAAUAAAGAAAUGUUAAAGGCAA